rnacentral:rRNA from 1 species
UUGGAGGGCAAGUCUGGUGCCAGCAGCCGCGGUAAUUCCAGCUCCAAUAGCGUAUAUUAAAGUUGUUGCAGUUAAAAAGCUCGUAGUUGAAUUUCGGGGUUAGUAGGUUGGUCAUGCCACUGGUAUGUACUGAUCUUACUGAUUCCUCCUUCCUGAUGAACCGUAAUGCCAUUAAUUUGGUGUUGCGGGGAGACUGGACUGUUACUUUGAAAAAAUUAGAGUGUUUAAAGCAGGCUAACGCUUGAAUACAUUAGCAUGGAAUAAUGAAAUAGGACGUUCGAUCCUAUUUUGUUGGUUUCUAGGAUUGACGUAAUGAUUAAUAGGGAUAGUUGGGGGCAUUAGUAUUCAAUUGUCAGAGGUGAAAUUCUUGGAUUUAUUGAAGACUAACUACUGCGAAAGCAUUUGCCAAGGAUGUUUUCAUUAAUCAAGAACGAAAGUUAGGGGAUCGAAGACGAUCAGAUACCGUCGUAGUCUUAACCAUAAACUAUGCCGACUAGGGAUCGGAUGAUGUUAAUUUUUUAAUGACUCAUUCGGCGCCUUACGGGAAAC